AUUGAACGCUGGCGGCAGGCCUAACACAUGCAAGUCGAGCGGAUGAAGAGAGCUUGCUCUCUGAUUUAGCGGCGGACGGGUGAGUAAUGCCUAGGAAUCUGCCUGGUAGUGGGGGAUAACGUUCCGAAAGGAACGCUAAUACCGCAUACGUCCUACGGUAGAAAGCAGGGGACCUUCGGGCCUCGCGCUAUCAGCUGAGCCUAGGUCGGAUUAGCUAGUUGGUGAGGUAAUGGCUCACCAAGGCUACGAUCCGUAACUGGUCUGAGAGGAUGAUCAGUCACACUGGAGCUGAGACACGGUCCAGACUCCUACGGGAGGCAGCAGUGGGGAAUAUUGGACAAUGGGCGAAAGCCUGAUCCAGCCAUGCCGCGUGUGUGAAGAAGGUCUUCGGAUUGUAAAGCACUUUAAGUUGGGAGGAAGGGCAGUAAGUUAAUACCUUGCUGUUUUGACGUUACCGACAGAAUAAGCACCGGCUAACUUCGUGCCAGCCGCCGCUGUAACAC
rnacentral:rRNA from 1 species